rnacentral:rRNA from 1 species
AACGCUAGCUACAGGCUUAACACAUGCAAGUCGAGGGGCAGCAUGGUCUUAGCUUGCUAAGGCCGAUGGCGACCGGCGCACGGGUGAGUAACACGUAUCCAAUCUGCCGUCUACUCUUGGACAGCCUUCUGAAAGGAAGAUUAAUACAAGAUGGCAUCAUGAGUUCACAUGUUCACAUGAUUAAAGGUAUUCCGGUAGACGAUGGGGAUGCGUUCCAUUAGAUAGUAGGCGGGGUAACGGCCCACCUAGUCUUCGAUGGAUAGGGGUUCUGAGAGGAAGGUCCCCCACAUUGGAACUGAGACACGGUCCAAACUCCUACGGGAGGCAGCAGUGAGGAAUAUUGGUCAAUGGGCGCAGGCCUGAACCAGCCGAGUAGCGUGAAGGAUGACUGCCCUAUGGGUUGUAAACUUCUUUUAUAAAGGAAUAAAGUCGGGUAUGUAUACCCGUUUGCAUGUACUUUAUGAAUAAGGAUCGGCUAACUCCGUGCCAGCAGCCGCGGUAAUACGGAGGAUCCGAGCGUUAUCCGGAUUUAUUGGGUUUAAAGGGAGCGUAGAUGGAUGUUUAAGUCAGUUGUGAAAGUUUGCGGCUCAACCGUAAAAUUGCAGUUGAUACUGGAUAUCUUGAGUGCAGUUGAGGCAGGCGGAAUUCGUGGUGUAGCGGUGAAAUGCUUAGAUAUCACGAAGAACUCCGAUUG